rnacentral:rRNA from 1 species
GACGUAGGGUCCAAGCGUUGUCCGGAUUUACUGGGCGUAAAGAGCGCGUAGGCGGUCCGUUAAGUGUAGAGUGAAAGCUCCGGGCUCAACUCGGAAAUUGCUCUGCAUACUGGCGGACUCGAGGACGGAAGAGGUUUGUGGAAUUCCUGGUGUAGCGGUGAAAUGCUUAGAUAUCGUCAAGAACACCAAUAGUGAAGACAGUUUACUAGACUUUUACUGACGCUGAGGCACGAAAGUGUGGGGAUCAAACAGG